rnacentral:rRNA from 1 species
GAUGAACGCUGGCGGCGUGGAUAAGGCAUGCAAGUCGAGUGGGUUUAGGCCCACGGCAAACGGGUUCGGAAUACAUAGGAAUUUUCCUCAGAGUCGUGAAUAAUUCGGAGAAAUCCGAGCUAAUACACGAUACGCUCUACGGAGUAAAGAUUUAUCGCUUUGAGAUGAGCCUGUGUCCUAUCAGCUUGUUGGUGAGGUAAAAGCCCACCAAGGCUAUGACGGGUAGGGGGUGUGAGAGCAUGACCCCAACAUUGGAACUGAGACACUGUCCAAACACCUACGGGUGGCUGCAGUCGAGAAUAUUCCACAAUGGACGAAAGUCUGAUGGAGCGACGCCGCGUGUGGGAUGAAGGCCUUCGGGUUGUGAACCACUUUUUCUAGGGAGCAAUUUCGAUGAGAGUACCUGAAGAAUAAGAGGUUACUAACUACUGUGCCAGCAGCCGCGGUAAU